UACAGAGGAUGCAAGCGUUAUCCGGAAUGAUUGGGCGUAAAGCGUCUGUAGGUGGCUUUUUAAGUCCGCCGUCAAAUCCCAGGGCUCAACUCUGGACAGGCGGUGGAAACUACCAAGCUGGAGUACGGUAGGGGCAGAGGGAAUUUCCGGUGGAGCGGUGAAAUGCGUAGAUAUCGUCUGGAACGCCGAAGGUGAAAACAGCUACGCUGGG
rnacentral:rRNA from 1 species